GAGUUUGAUCAUGGUUCAGAACGAACGCUGGCGGCAGGCCUAACACAUGCAAGUCGAGCGCGCCUCUUCGGAGGCGAGCGGCGCACGGGUGAGUAACGCGUGGGAACCUACCCUGGGGUAGGGGAUAACCGCUGGAAACGGCGGCUAAUACCCUAUACGUCCUUCGGGAGAAAGAUUUAUUGCCCUGGGAUGGGCCCGCGUUGGAUUAGCUUGUUGGUGGGGUAAAAGCCUACCAAGGCGACGAUCCAUAGCUGGUCUGAGAGGAUGAUCAGCCACACUGGGACUGAGACACGGCCCAGACUCCUACGGGAGGCAGCAGUGGGGAAUAUUGGACAAUGGGCGCAAGCCUGAUCCAGCCAUGCCGCGUGAGUGAAGAAGGCCUUAGGGUUGUAAAGCUCUUUCACCCGCGAAGAUGAUGACGGUAGCGGGAGAAGAAGCCCCGGCUAACUCCGUGCCAGCAGCCGCGGUAAUACGGAGGGGGCAAGCGUUGUUCGGAUUUACUGGGCGU
rnacentral:rRNA from 1 species